UACAAUUAUAUAUAAUAUGUAUAUUGUCAAUUAAAAAUGUAUUGUAAAAUAAUCAUAUUUAUAGAGUGUAUGAUUUUAUUUUUCCCCAUACUAUGGUAAGUAUUGGUAUUAGAAGAAGUUACUAAAAAUAUGUUUUUGAAAACAGUAUGUUUCAUUGUAGUUUUAACUGUUUCUAAAAUACAUUUUUCUAAACCACAUAAUGCUACUAGUGCAGUGACAUUUGAAAGACUUGAAAUUCAAAUAAAAAAAGAUAAACCACCAUCGCAUGAAAGUGAAUGGAUAGAAGAAUGCAGAUGUGUUAUGAUAUCUGACUGUAUAUCAGAUGAAAAUGAUGCAUCAAUAGAUAUUAGAAUAAUCACAAAACCAGAUAAAUGUCCACCUGGAAAAGUGUAUUGUUGUUCUGACCCAUUAUUAGAAAAUCCAUUAAUAAUGUGUGGUAAGGUUAAAUCGCAAGACAUUGAUGGGAUUAAAAUCCAUUCCGACCAGGCUAAAUUUGGAGAAUUUCCAUGGCAAGCUUUAAUUUUAACAAAAGGAAAUUCAUUCGUCUCAAAUGGAGCUCUAAUAGACAAUAAACAUAUACUAUCUACUGCUCAUUUUUUGACUAGUUUCUCGAAGAACUUCAGUGCGCUGAAAGUGCGGUUAGGCGACUGGGACAUCUACAGAGACGUGGAGCCUCGGCCGCACUUUGAAAGGUCCGUGGCCAGCAUUACGAUCCAUCCCGAGUAUUCACCGUCCAACAUGCACAACGACAUCGCGGUGAUCACAUUGUCGGGCUCCUCGGUACCUGUCACCGACCACGUGAGUCCGGUUUGUUUGCCGACGAAACCGCCGCCAGGCGCCGUGUCUCCGCGUCACCAGUGGACGGGUUGCCGGGUGUCCGGAUGGGGUUCGGAGAGCUUCGACCAGCCGCGGUACCCGGGCGUGCUGAAAAAGGUGCCAGUGCCGCUGUGGGACCGCCAACGGUGCGUCGAGAGUCUGAGGACCACGAGACUCGGUGCCGCGUUCAAGUUGCACUCGGGAUUCUUGUGCGCGGGCGGCGAAGAGAACGAAGACGCGUGCAAGAUACUCCGGCUUCCAUGAAUUCCAUAUUUGUCACUGUGUCGAUAGUGGCGAAUCCUAACUAUGUGUGAAUACGUAAGAGACUUAGAAAUAUGGCGCCUAGUAUCUGAACGUUCGGUAACUUUACGAUGUCCCAAAGUAGCUUGUACGUGUUUAAAACGCCCAGACCUUUUUGUUCGGCCGACGGUUGGGUUUCGCGCUUGAAUUUGGACACACACGCCGCUGC